UACAGAGGUCUCAAGCGUUGUUCGGAUUCAUUGGGCGUAAAGGGUGCGUAGGCGGCUCGGUAAGUCGGGUGUGAAAUCUCGGAGCUUAACUCCGAAACUGCAUUCGAUACUGCCGUGCUUGAGGACUGGAGAGGAGACUGGAAUUUACGGUGUAGCGGUGAAAUGCGUAGAUAUCGUAAGGAAGACCAGUGGCGAAGGCGGGUCCCUGGACAGUUCCUGACGCUGAGGCACGAAGGCCAGGGGAGCAAACGGG
rnacentral:rRNA from 1 species